rnacentral:rRNA from 1 species
GAAUUCACUAGUGAUUGUCCCAGCCGCCGCGGUGAAUACGUUCCCGGGCCUUGUACACACCGCCCGUCACACCAUGGGAGUCGGUUUCUCCAGAAGCGCCUGAGCCAACCCGCAAGGGAGGCAUGGUUCCAAGGAGAGGCCGGUAACUGGGGUGAAGUCGUAACAAGGUAACCA